rnacentral:rRNA from 1 species
GUAGGUGGCAAGCGUUGUCCGGAAUUAUUGGGCGUAAAGCGCGCGCAGGCGGUUCUUUAAGUCUGAUGUGAAAGCCCACGGCUCAACCGUGGAGGGUCAUUGGAAACUGGAGAACUUGAGUACAGAAGAGGAAAGCGGAAUUCCACGUGUAGCGGUGAAAUGCGUAGAGAUGUGGAGGAACACCAGUGGCGGAGGCGACUUUCUGGUCUGUAACUGACGCUGAGGCGCGAAAGCGUGGGGAGCAAACAGGGAUUAGAUACCCUGGUAGUCCACGCCGUAAACGAUGAGUGCUAAGUGUUAGGGGGGUUUCCGCCCCCUUAGUGCUGCAGCUAACGCAUUAAGCACUCCGCCUGGGGAGUACGGCCGCAAGGCUG